CCUACGGGCGGCAGCAGUGAGGAAUAUUGGUCAAUGGGCUUACGCCUGAACCAGCCAAGUCGCGUGAGGGAAGACUGCCCUAUGGGUUGUAAACCUCUUUUGUCAGGGAGCAACGCCGGCUACGUGUAGCCUGACUUAUAGUCCCUGAAGAAAAAGCAUCGGCUAACUCCGUGCCAGCAGCCGCGGUAAUACGGAGGAUGCGAGCGUUAUCCGGAUUUAUUGGGUUAAAGGGGUGCGUAGGCGGAAUGCCAAGUCAGCGGUAAAAUCGCGGGGCUAAACCUCGAUGCGCCGUUGAAACUGUCGAGCUGGAGUGAAGUAGAGGUAGGCGGAAUUCCCGGUGUAGCGGUGAAAUGCGUAGAGAUCGGGAGGAACACCAGUGGCGAAGGCGGCCUACUGGGCUGUAACUGACGCUGAGGCACGAAAGCGUGGGUAGCAAACAGGAUUAGAUACCCCUGUAGUC
rnacentral:rRNA from 1 species